AGCCAAAAACUGUAAAUGCCUUUCAAAGAGUGAAAUUGAUCAGGUGGAGUUUAAAGGACGAUAUAGGCUUAAAGAUAAUUCUUAUUGGGCAAAGGAGGGUGCAGAUAUUGGCUAUGGUGCAAAAGCACAGGAAGUUUUGGGCCAGGUUAAGGGAAGGGAUUUCCGACAUGAGAAGACCAAGAAGAAGCGAGGUAGUUACAGAGGAGGGAUAAUUGACUUGAACUCGCACUCGGUCAAGUUCAACUACCUCAGAUGAGGAGUAACCUGUUUCAGCCUAUUUUCAGGGAAAGCCUCUUUUCUUUUUAUAAAGAAAAAAGAUUUCUUUUUUGCGCUUGUGGGAUUUGAUUAUUUAAGCAGAACGAUAAAGAUUUCAUUAAACUUAAGAAGUUGAUCCUAUCAAAGAUAAUCCCACCCUUGAAACGCUGACAAAAGGUCGUCUGCGUCUUCGUUUUCUUGUUUGUUAUUUUCGUCAAGUUGUUUUUGAGCUCAGAAACUGUGUCAAUUCAUGAAUUUGUAUUUAUAUUAAUCAAACUAGUGUCUUAAUCCUCUCAACAUGAGAGAUUUUUGUUACCUUUAUUAUUUUUGUCAUUUUAUUUGUUCUUAGACUUAAUCUUCAUUAUUGAGAUCAUAUAAUCGCAAUUGAUUAAAGCUGAAGGGCCAAGAUAUGGCAUUGUGCCUUUUUAGGUCCAAAUAGUUUGUUGUGACCAUUGAACCCCAUGGGACAUGAUGUUGUGGCAAAGAUGACAUGUGGUGUGUAUGUAUAUAAAAGAUAUAUUAAUUGCAGAUCCCUUUUCCACAACAAUAAUUGUGAAGUUUUAAACAUUUUGGAUUCUAUACCUGCUGAUCUUGGUUAAAUAACUUGGACAAUGAAAUAAGUGAACGUAUUGCUUAGGGUAGAUAUAACAUGUUGAAAGCUGCAAGUCAACUAUAAAUAUUCCCGAGAGGAGUUUCCCAGGAAAAUCUUUAGUUAAAAAAAGUGUCAUACAGUGGUGUCAUUUUGAAUAUUCAGUUGACCUUUAAUUAAAUACAAAAUGACCCUUGCCCACACUAGUAGAGACAAAGCCCAUUGGCUGGAUACAACAUUUGAGUUGGUAACUGCCUUAUUAAUGUGAAUGGUAUGACUAUCCAUUAUCUAAAUCAUCUAUUCCUCAUUCAUUUUAAAUUAAGUAUCUGGAAUACUUACAAAACAUUAAGCAAGAAUCAUGCCUUUAGAAAUUCGUUAGCUAUUCGUUAUUACUUCAUUGAUAAUGUUAUGCAGAUGUGGUUAGUGAAGGCACUAGUUUCCGUGGGUUUUUCUCCAUUUUUUUUUUUACCUUGAAAUAUGUACUUCAGUCCUUAAUUUUUGAAAAAUCCUUACAAGUGAUACUACAAGAGUGAGAUUUUUUUUUAAUUCCAAUAAUGCAUAAAACUUAAGCUCUUCAUACUAAGCUUCCAAUUGGUUGGUACUUGGUAGGAAUGUAAAGGAAGUGGAUUCUUUCUUUUCAUUCAACUCUAGAGUGAUUGAAAAACUCUGCUUUUACUUCACUUCUCCUACUAUUGUUUUGGUGACUUGGUAGGUAUGUAAAAGGAAGUGGAAGUGAUAUCUGCUAUUGUUUUGGUGACUUGGUAGGAAUGUAAAGGAAGAAGUGGAAGUGAUAUCUGGUAUUGUUUUGGUGACUUGGUAGGAAU